rnacentral:rRNA from 1 species
UACGAAGGGGCUAGCGUUGUUCGGAUUUACUGGGCGUAAAGCGCACGUAGGCGGAUCUUUAAGUCAGAGGUGAAAUCCCAAGGCUCAACCUUGGAACUGCCUUUGAUACUGGGGAUCUUGAGUCCGGGAGAGGUGAGUGGAACUGCGAGUGUAGAGGUGAAAUUCGUAGAUAUUCGCAAGAACACCAGUGGCGAAGGCGGCUCACUGGCCCGGUACUGACGCUGAGGUGCGAAAGCGUGGGGAGCAAACAGGG